rnacentral:tRNA from 1 species
GUUUCGAUAGCUUAAUUAAAGCAUAGCGCUGAAAAUGCUAAGAUGACCCCUAAAAAGUUCUCUAAACA